GACAGAGGGUGCGAGCGUUGUCCGGAAUCACUGGGCGUAAAGGGCGCGUAGGUGGUGGCUUAAGCGUGCGGCGAAAGCUCGGGGCUCAACUCCGAGUCGGCCGUGCGAACUGGGCUCACUGGGGCAUAGUAGAGGCAGGUGGAAUUCCGGGUGUAGCGGUGGAAUGCGUAGAGAUCCGGAAGAACACCGGUGGCGAAGGCGGCCUGCUGGGCUAUGGCUGACACUGAGGCGCGACAGCGUGGGGAGCAAACAGG
rnacentral:rRNA from 1 species